UUUAUUUAAGUGUGGUCGCUUGAAUUUGGUUGUAAUGGCUUUGUGUUUGUGAUGCUCAGCCGUCGCACAAGUCGUUCAUGAUCAAGAAGAAGCUGGCGAAGAAGAUGAGGCAGAAAAGGCCGAUACCGUACUGAAGAUGAGGCAGAACAGGCCGAUACCGUACUGGAUCAGGAUGAGGACGGACAACACCAUCAGGUCCGUCCCUCACUUGGAUUUUGUUUCAUCUUCUAGUUCUUGCUCACAUAUUCGUUUCGGUAUUCUUUGCUGAUUUUCCAAUUUGAUUGUUUCUGUUUUCAGGUACAAUGCGAAGCGCAGGCACUGGCGCCGCACCAAGCUAGGGUUCUAAGUUGCUCAAAGGUUGGAUUACGAAUGAGUUAGCAAUGCACUGUUGUUUUGCUCUUUUGUUUUUUGGGUUGUUGGAGUUAAAAGUUUGAGAAUCUAUGAAUAUGAUGAUAUGUAGUGUUAUGAGAAAUUCCAAUGGAUUAUCAGUCAAGACUUACUCUGAUAUUGGCCUUUGACUAUGUCGAAUUGAAUGGGAAGCUUAUGCUCUUCAGUGUUUGUUUCUUAUGUUACGUGUUUUCACAUUGAAUUUCUAUUGCUCCCAAUGCAAGGUCUCUAAACUUAGAGAGCUAGGUUGGAUUCCAGCUUAAUUUAACUUCUCUUUAGCUUCAAUUUAACGUUUGUAGUAUAGUAGGAUAGAGCUGUAUUUAGUAACAAGGCUGCAUGUUCUGUUCAAGAAACAAACUCAGUCGGUAUGGCUGGCUGUUUGAGUUGCAGCAAUGGUUAUGGCUUGCUAGAUUAGAUUUCAGCUUUGUGUUGCUAUUUUGCAUCCAUUGAAUCUCUGGACAAGAGUAACGGUACUAGUAUGCAACUUUAGCGAUGUAAGUAGGGUAUAUCCACAGCUAGGCAGGGUCCUAUGCUGCCCCUGUUUAGGAAGCAAGUUCAGUGGAUUGUUUGUACUGAUACCAUACUUUGGGUAUGUUGGAUGUCUUUGCAGUUAUGUACUUGUAUGUUCUAGGGUCGAUUAUUGAUUACUAUUGCUGCUAUGUUUCAACCAGUUUUCUUUUCUAGCUAUUUUGGUUUGGGUUGAUUGCAAUCUGCAACUAUUACUGGCCUCUGAUGAACCGAGACCUACAUACACUGCUGCACCUGUUGGUUGGUGUCUUUGACACUGCGUGUUGUCCCCUUAUCCUUGUUAUAAAAAUAAUCAACUUAGAAUACCAAGGUGAGCAGUUGAUUAUUGAUGUUUUGGUAUCGGUUAGUCUUGAUUAUCGUAAAGUCUUGUUUCGAGUGUCUGUGCCAUUAUUUUUUCCUGUAUUCUGCGAUUACAUCAAUACUGCAUUUUUCUUACCGUCAAAUAGGUCGGAUUUUCCAAAUUUUGCCUGCAAAAAUCAAUUUCAUAAUUUUUUAUGAUAAGGCAUCAUUUUCCGCUACGAUUUUGUAAAUAAGGGAGAAUUUUCAAUUCGUCCAAAUUUGAAUUUUGGAGGGUUUGCAAUUUGGAUGUAAUUAGAUUCCAUGUUUUUCGUUCAAACUUGUGUCAUGGAAUUGAAUUUAAUUGUAACAUGGAAUGACCAAAUUAUCCCUGAUAACUCUAAUUCUGAAUUUUGAUAACCUUAAUUUUAAUUGGUUUUUUUGUUAGGGAUUUUGAAAACCUUCUUCAUCUGACUCCCUCCCGGUUACUCCUCAUUUUUUGGAAUUUACAACUUUCACCUGUAAUAAGAAAUUGACGGUUGGAUCGGACAAUUAAUACAGCCACAACCAUAUUGUUGACGUGCGUAGAAUUCAAGCACUGGCUGGAGCUCCAUUGGAUUUGAGGCUGCGCAACCGGCGGAAGAGCAGGUCGGAUCGGCGACGUUGACCUCGCUGCCACUAUUUCGGACGGCGGCGGAGCAGUUGCUGGACGAAAACAAGGCGUCAACCUCGAUAUCGAGAGGCGUCGGUGGAGCUGGAUCUGAUGCCGGCGGAGUUGGAUCUUUGAAGUUGCAAUAGGCGCGAAAUAGAGAGGGGGCGAAGAAGCAAAAUAGAAGGAGGAGCUAGCGCGGAUGAUUUUUUGGGACACAGUUAUUUUGGAGAGUUCACUGAAUGGGAAUAGGUGAAUUCUUCCCGCUUAAACAGGAUUGUGAAAGUCCAUUUUGGUACGAAAUUGACCUGGUAUGAUUUUUCAAUUUUGGUGCGCAAAUGUGUAACGGAAAUUAAGGAAUUGGAACAAUUCCGGCCCCCGAUUUUCAUGCGUAAAAUGAUGCAUAAAAACACGCCCCAAAACCACGAGAGUUUGAAAACCUGGACAUCAAAUCUGCCACAUAAGGGUUCUCGUUUACCUUUUUUUAGGGUUACUAAGCGACGUCCUAGAAUUCGAAUUAGACGACACUCUAUACUAUAUAAAGAUUGAAUCGUCCUUAUCGUAAAAAUACGGCGAGACUAACUGACCCAACUCGUCGGCUUGUUCGGAAAACAUCACAGUAUAGUAUUUUUGAGAUAAGUCAUCGCUCGGAAGUUCGAUUGAUGCAUGACCGGCGUUGCUGGAAAGCUAGUUCGAUUGGCUACAAUUUUCAUGCCAUGUCGAGGACAAUUUGCAGCAAGAAAAUUCAGACGGACAGUGUGUCCGUCUGGCAAGAUGGGCCAGACAGAAAUCCCGUCCGUUUGGUUAUUCUCGCCGGAAUUUGGCCUCAACGUGAACUUGAAAGCCGUAGCCAAUCGAAUUAGCUUUUCAAAGAAGCCGGUCUUGCAUCAAUCAAACUUCUGAACAAUAAGUUAUGUCGAAAAUAUUUAACAGUGACGUUUUCCUACCAAGUCUACCGUUCUAAGUUG
rnacentral:lncRNA from 1 species